AAAUUGAAGAGUUUGAUCAUGGCUCAGAUUGAACGCUGGCGGCAGGCCUAACACAUGCAAGUCGAACGGUAACAGAAAGCAGCUUGCUGCUUUGCUGACGAGUGGCGGACGGGUGAGUAAUGUCUGGGAAACUGCCUGAUGGAGGGGGAUAACUACUGGAAACGGUGGCUAAUACCGCAUAACGUCGCAAGACCAAAGAGGGGGACCUUCGGGCCUCUUGCCAUCAGAUGUGCCCAGAUGGGAUUAGCUUGUUGGUGAGGUAACGGCUCACCAAGGCGACGAUCCCUAGCUGGUCUGAGAGGAUGACCAGCCACACUGGAACUGAGACACGGCCCAGACUCCUACGGGAGGCAGCAGUGGGGAAUAUUGCACAAUGGGCGCAAGCCUGAUGCAGCCAUGCCGCGUGUAUGAAGAAGGCCUUCGGGUUGUAAAGUACUUUCAGCGGGGAGGAAGGUG
rnacentral:rRNA from 1 species